rnacentral:rRNA from 1 species
GUGGGGAAUUUUGGACAAUGGGCGCAAGCCUGAUCCAGCAAUGCCGCGUGCAGGAAGAAGGCCUUCGGGUUGUAAACUGCUUUUGUACGGAACGAAACGGUCCGGGUUAAUACCCUGGGCUAAUGACGGUACCGUAAGAAUAAGCACCGGCUAACUACGUGCCAGCAGCCGCGGUAAUACGUAGGGUGCAAGCGUUAAUCGGAAUUACUGGGCGUAAAGCGUGCGCAGGCGGUUUUGUAAGACAGGCGUGAAAUCCCCGGGCUCAACCGGGGAAUUGGGAUUGUGACUGCAAGGCUGGAGUGCGGAAGAGGGGGAUGGAAUUCCGCGUGUAGCAGUGAAAUGCGUAGAUAUGCGGAGGAACACCGAUGGCGAAGGCAAUCCCCUGGGCCUGCACUGACGCUCAUGCACGAAAGCGUGGGGAGCAAACAGGAUUAGAUACCCUGGUAGUCC